rnacentral:tRNA from 1 species
UGGUGUGGCUCAGUCGGUAGAGCAGCUGAUUCGUAAUCAGCAGGUCGCCGGUUCAAGUCCGGCCAG